rnacentral:rRNA from 1 species
CCUACGGGAGGCAGCAGUGAGGAAUAUUGGUCAAUGGGCGCGAGCCUGAACCAGCCAAGUAGCGUGAAGGAUGACUGCCCUACGGGUUGUAAACUUCUUUUAGCAAGGAAUAAAGAGAGGCACGUGUGCCUCUUUGUGAGUACUCGAUGAAAAAGGAUCGGCGAACUCCGUGCCAGCAGCCGCGGUAAUACGGAGGAUGCGGGCGUUAUCCGGAUUUAAUGGGUUUAAAGGGAGGGUAGACGGGUUGUUAAGUCAGUGGUGAAAGUUUGGGGCUCAACCGUAAAAAUGCAAUUGAUAAUGGCUGUCUUGAGUGCAGUUGAGGUAGGCGGAAUUCGUGGUGUAGCGGUGAAAUGCUUAGAUAUCACGAAGAACUCCGAUUGCGAAGGCAGCUUACUGGCGUGCCACUGACGCUGAUGCUCGAAAGUGUGGGUAUCGAACAGGAUUAGAUACCCGAGUAGUC